rnacentral:rRNA from 1 species
UACAGAGGUCUCAAGCGUUGUUCGGAUUCAUUGGGCGUAAAGGGUGCGUAGGAGGCGUGGUAAGUCGGGUGUGAAAUCUCGGAGCUUAACUCCGAAACUGCAUUCGAUACUGCCGUGCUUGAGGACUGGAGAGGAGACUGGAAUUUACGGUGUAGCGGUGAAAUGCGUAGAUAUCGUAAGGAAGACCAGUGGCGAAGGCGGGUCUCUGGACAGUUCCUGACGCUGAGGCACGAAGGCCAGGGGAGCAAACGGG